rnacentral:lncRNA from 1 species
GCUGCGGAGAUGAUGAGGGUUGCUAUUUGGUGUCUGCAAAGUGAUCACACCAGGAGGCCUAGCAUGUCAACCGUGGUUAAGGUCUUAGAGGGCACCAUGGGUGUUGAAGCAGACCUAGACUAUUGCCUUCAGAAUGCAACAACAAUGGCAGCAAUAAGAAGAGAGGCAGUGCUGGGCAGUACUACCACAUUUCUGCCAUCACUACUAUCAGGACCAAGGUGAAGAAAGAUCUUUUGCGAAAUAUAUGUGGUGUUUAUGUUUCUCUGAUAGGUGUUUUACCUUCAGUUCUCUUUAUAUCGCUAGUGUAAUGUUAUCUGGGAAAUUGUUCAAUUAGCAUAAAGUGUGAUUCUUUAAAGCCAAGACAUGCAAUCAGUUUUCAGUUGAGUUUUUGAGGUAAAGAAUUACUUUUAUAGCCAACAAAGAGCCAAAUAUACAUGAUUCCGGUGAACAUAUUACUAUCAAUGUCAUAACCUAAUUUUUGACCCUUUUAUUUUAAUUUUAUUUACUGAAAAUGAUAAAAAGAAAAAUGAUGAAAAAAAUAAUAAUAAUGAUGAUGAAAAAAAAUAAUACAAAUGAAAUAAACGAAGAACGAAUUAAAAUUUGGGUUAAGGGCAACAUGAUUGGAAGUUUAAAGAUAUAAUUAAAUUUUUUGACUUGUUUAAUUAAUCAAAUCAACGGUUUAAUUGAAGAAUUGAUAAAUUUUAAAACUUAAUUAAGAUUGAAAUUAAUUUAAUUAAUCAAAUUAAGGGUUUAAUUGAAGAAUUGAUCAGUUUUGAGACUUAAUUAAGCUUGAAAUUGAUUUAAUUCAUCCAAUCAAGAGUUUAAUUGGAGAAUUGAUGAGUUUUGAGACUUAAUUAAGCCUAGAAUUAAUUUAAUUAAUCCAAUCAGGGGCUUAAUUGAAGAAUUGGUAAGUUUUAGACUUAAUUGGACUUUGGAUUUAAUUAAAUUAAUGAAAUCAGGGACUUAAUUGAAGAAAUAACAAAGUUUGGGGUUAAUUGGGGGCACAAUUACAACAGAUUAAAGUCCAAGGACUAACUUGUAAAAGGAGCCGAAAUGCAGGGAAAAUUACAGUUUAAACCAGGGGCUUAAUUAUAGCAGUUUCGAUACUUCACGGGUCAAAACAAAAAUGGCCACCUCAUAUUCCAAAACGGCGUCGUUUGAAAAAGCGUUGUUCAUCUUCUUCGCAGGAGCCGUUGCUGGAGUAAAGGGUGGAAGCCGUUUCAAAUGCUUGGCAUUCUCUGGCUAUAAAGCCAGAGAAGAUGAGAGAGCGCAGGGAGAAAAAAAAAAGGGCAGAACUGAGGGGCUGAGGGGGAGAGAGAGAAAACAGAGCCACGAAUGGCAGAAAAUGAGGAAUCACAGAACUGGGGGAGACAAAUGGAGAGAAACCGAACAAGGGAAAAUUUUGGUCCAUCAACCAACAGCAGCUCGUGCUUUCACCACCAUUGUCUCCGUCUUGAAUGGAGAAGAUCGGACAAAGAACUAGAAAAGGGAACAAAGCGGAGGAGAGGAAGUAACACUGGGAACACCACAAGACGCGAGAACAGAGAUAAUACAGAGAAGACAAGCAAAAACAGAGGAGGCCAUGAACGAGCAGAAAACAGAGGAACACAGAAAAAAGCAGAAAAGGCGGUGGGCACGGUAGCAAAGGAAAGCAGAAGGCAAGGUCAGACGCAAACGGGAGGCACCACCGCGAUGCAACCAUCUUCGUCGUCUCCAAAAGCAAGUACACCCAUUCUAGUUUUAUUCUCUGUGUUCAAUAAAACAUUGAACACAGUGUGAAGGUAAUUUAAUUACCUUCACACUGUGUGCAUCAUGCCCAGCAGGGUCACUGGCUCGAGCCAGUGACCGGGCUGGGCUGGCUGGAUCUAGCCCAUCCCAUGUGGGUUGAGCUGGGCCCAGCCCAAAAAAAUAAAGAAUAAAAAAAUAAAAAAACAGAAAAAUAAAAAAAGUAGAAAAAAUAAAAAAUGUGCAUGCAUGAAUAAAAAUAAUAUAAAUUUAUUGGUUUAUUCACUAACGCUAGAGUUAGGAAUAAAAAUACCGGUUUAAAUUUAUAUUAUUUUUAUUCCUUGUAUUUUAUUUUAUUUAGCUAGAAAAAAAAAAUAUGUGCAUGCGUAAAAAUAAAUUUAUUUUUGUUUAUUUAUUCACUGGCGCUAGAGUAGGGAAUAAAAAAUAUUGAUCUAAUUUUUUUUCUUAGCUACGAAUUUUUACCAGCGCUAGAGUUGGAAUUAUUCGAGCUCGAAUAUUCACUGGCGCCAGAGUCAGGAAUAUUAUAAACAAAUUAUAAUAGCAUAAGCGAAUAAAUGUUUAGCAAUUGAAGACAGAACCAACAAUGCAGUUUGCCUUAGGCAGAACGUUUAAGGGGUGAUAAUAUCUUUCCUUUUACGUAACUAGUUUCGAAUCAUAGAAUCUUUGUUGACCAGUUAGGAUUUCUAGUGACCAUAAUACUAGGUGUCGACUCCUCAAAUAAGAUAUUUUUCUUAAAAGAACAAGAUACCAAAUAUCUGUUCUUUUUUCUUAAAUCAAGAUAAUUUUUAGAACCACUGCGAUGUUGGGUGUGACAAUCAACAUUGUGCUUAUUCUUUUCAGAACAAUAACAAAGCUUUAGUGAAGAGUGAAGAAGUGUUUCCUGCACAAUAAUAGUGAAUGAAAACUAGACCAAAGUGAGUUCAUGUUAGAUACUAUUGUAUGAGUGCUUAAGUAGUUAAGGAUGAGAUAUCUCUCAAGCUGUCAAAAAAAAAAACUUUUACUUGAGAAGAUCGAUAAUCUUAUUUUUUAAACCAUGUAUGAAAAAAAAGGUGAGUGAAGGCCUUAUGAUGUCGAGUGAAGGCCUUAUGAUGUCGAGUGAAGAGUCCAUUUUCAUGAAGUUAAAUUGAUAAUUAGAGUAUUAUACUAGAGAGAAACGUGAACACUAUUUAUAAGUGGCGUGCAUGUCAUCUAAUUGAGUGAUUAUGUGAAUAAAAGUGUUUACAUAGUCAAUGAUGAAUUAUUGGCUAGAACGAGCAUGGAAACAAGUGUCAAUUGACUUUUAUGGAUAUUUCCCUAUCAUAAAUUAAAAAGCUAGAUAAACUAUUGAAUGAGAUGACUGUUCUCUUACGAAAAUUCUAAAGGAAAAGCAUCGUCGAAUAUGAGUCAAUUUUCCACGCCUGUCAUUCUCGUUCUCGGCUGUUGGGUCUAUAAUGGCUGCAUGCCGUAUUGCUUGACGAGGACUAUUUAAGUAUUAUUCUCGACCUUUUAUUUAUUUAUUUUGGAUUUUUUCUGCUGGUGGGUCUAUAAUAUUUUUUUUUAUAACCGAAGUCUGUAAACAGAAACAUUUUAUUUAUUUUCCGCGUCAAGAAAGUCAAGUAACUCAGUCACCCACUUUUUUUAAACUCCCACUGCACUAGAUCUCGCUCCUUCUGCUGUGAAUCCAAUUCCAAAUAUUUAUGGAGAAAAAAAAUAUUAAUCUUUAUUUACAACGUUGGUUAAUUACAAUUAGUACAAUGAUAUCAAUUUCUUCUCUUAUACUAAAAUAAUGAUACCAAUUCUAGAUAUUAUAUAUGAAUUAUGUUAUGUUAUGUAUGAAAAAUACUAAAAAAGAGAUAGGUUAAUUUGGUCAUCCCAUAAAACUAUAUAUGGAAUGAGAUUAAAACUUAAGGAAUGGGAAUAGCACUGCACAAAAUAUUAAUGAUAUUUAUUAUUUAUAGUAUAUGGUCAAUGAAGUGUCAUGAUUCAUCGAGUGAUUUCCAAUGAAAUUUGGAGCACAUACCAGCUUAAUUCUAAGUUUGCUAGAAGAGUUAUUUGAUUUUCGAACAAAUUCAUAAGCACUUAGGCACAAUCUACUCUUUUUUUCUUAUUAAAAAAAUUGUAUAAAGAACAACUAAAUAUUUAUUAAAAUUAAGAAAUCAACACAUUAAAUAAAAUUGUAUUGUUCUCUACAACAAAUUGUGGAGACCCCAAAAGAAAAGUGAGAGCGAGAUGUGCUUCCGGGGCAUGUUAAAAUUAAGAAAUUAACACGUUAAAAAAACUUUCAAUAUGCCUUGUAUGUUUGAUAUGUAAAUUGACAUAUUUAAUAUCAAUUCAAUCUUGAGUAUGAACCUAUUCUCCAAUGUCACUUUCAUUUGCUCCAAAUGGGAAGAUACUGCUUGGAUUUUUAUUUUUUUGUCUCACGUAAAAUUACUUGAAGUUAAAAGAAAAGUCAUGAUGGGUAUUGCGAGGAGAUCAUACAACAAGAAUCGUAAGCUCUUGAGGGUAAACAUGUCCGCUAUCCAUGGCUGGUAAUAAGGACGGGGAAAUUAAAGAAUUUUCAUUGAUGGGGCAAAUAGCAUCACGUUUUGUGUUCAAAAACAGGGAAGCUUCUAUGGCUGCUGCUGCACUGCGUUCAUUUGGUGUUGUAUAGCAACAGCAUUUAUUUAUCUGUAUUCCAUUCCAGAGUAAUACCAAACAAAAAUAGCAGAGCUCAUGGCUAUGUGGCCUUUGAGUGAUAUCCUGCUAGUGCAGCUUUUGAUCAUGUUAUCUCCUGCAUGCUUCCUAGAAGCUCAAACUUCUUACUCCACAGCCCAAAAUUAUUACCCAUCAUGGACAAACAAUUUGUCCAUUCCAGCGAGAGGCUUUGAUUCCUACCAAAUGAUCUUGUUGAGUGAGUAUUGGUCUUUUGCUUGUGGAUUUUACUCCAAAGACCAGGAAAAUGAUUCCUUUUAUUUUGCAGUUGUAUCACUCAACCAAACAUAUGCAGGAGCUAUUGUUAAUUUCACUCUUCAGCAUGUCAUAUGGUUGGCAAAUGAAAAUAAGCCUGUUGGACGGAACGCAACUCUAAAGUUACUUCCAGAAGGAAAUUUGGUUCUGAGAGAUGCAGAUGGAGCUUUAGUCUGGUCUACCAACACGUCUAACAUGUCUGUUGCAGGUAUAAAGAUGAUGGAAACAGGGAUGCUUGUGCUUCAAGACCACAAUAAUAAGACUGUGUGGCAAUCUUUCAGUAAUACAGCACAUGUGUCCACUUCAUGGACGAAUAAUGAUCCCAUAUCAGCCAUGCCUUUUAAUCUAUUUAAAAUAAUCAUGAUGCACGGAGCUGGUUUUUAUUGUGGAUUUCUCUCCAAGGACCGGAAUUCCUUCUAUUUUGCUAUAUGGAAGAAGAAGUCGGAAUAUUCUGGAGAUGAUGAUCCGGAGGCCUUAUGGUUAGCAAACAGAAACAGGCCUGUUGGUGAGAACGCAACUUUACAAUUUUUACCAGAUGGAGAUUUGGUUCUGAGAGAUGCUGAUGGAGCUUUCGUUUGGUCUACUAACACAUCUAACAUGUCUGUUGCGGGUAUGAGGAUGAUGGAAACUGGAAACCUUGAGCUUCAAGACCACAAUAAUAAGAUUGUGUGGCAAUCUUUUAGUAAUACAGCACAUGUGUCCGCUUUAUGGACGAAUAAUGAUCCCAUAUCAGCCAUGCCUUAUAAUCUAUAUAAAAUAUUCAUGAUGCACGGAGCUCCUUUUUCUUGUGGAUUUCACUCCAAGGACCGGAAUUCCUUCUAUUUUGCAAUAUGGAAGCAAUCGGAAGUUUCUGGAGAUGAUGUUCCGGAGGCCUUGUGGUUAGCAAACAGAAACAGGCCUGUUGGUGAGAACGCAACUUUACAUUUUUUACCAGAUGGAGAUUUGGUCUUGAGAGAUGCUGAUGGAACUUUCGUUUGGUCUACUAACACAUCUAGCAUGUCUGUUGCGGGUAUGAGGAUGAUGGAAACUGGAAACCUUGAGCUUUAUGAUGUCAAUAACAAGACUGUUUGGAAUUCAUUUGAUCAUCCUUCUGAUGUACUGCUUCUUGGGAACAAAUUAGUGGCAGGACAGAAGCUGGUGGCAAGUGUUUCGAAAACUAAUAGAUCUGAAGGUGUCUUCAGCCUCUCUGUGAUCCCACAAGGUUUGUUUGCUUCUUACCAAGCUACUGCGCCACAAAAGUACUUCAAAUUUCAGUUUUGGGGGCAUAGACAGCCUCCAACUAAGUCAUGAUGAAUCCUCUGGUAAUCUUGCUUUACUUAUAAUGUCAGCUUCACCUGAUGAGCCGAAUACAACUUACAAGCACCAUUAAAUACUCAGCGACGGCUUACAUGAAAUUUGAUCCUGAUGGGCAUCUCAGAAUUUAUGAUGGCAACAUGAUGACGGGGUUGAUCUGUUGACAGAUAUGAUGUGCAUGUGAUUACCCAACAGCUUGUGGUAAUUAUGGGCUGUGCUUAAAUGGACAGUGCUCGUGCCCAGCAGGAUUUGCUCGAGCCAAUACCAAAUGAUCAAGGCAACUACAAUUGCUGGCAGAUGAGUCCAACCACAUGUGAAAAUCCAAAAUCCCAUUCUCUUCUUCCCCUGGAAGAUGUCUACUAUUUCAAUUAUGUUGACCCUGAGGCAGCGGUCCUGAAAGGAACAGACAUGAAGAGUUGUAAAGAUGCAUGUUUGAAAAACUGUUCAUGCAACGCUGCUCUAUUUCAGUAUUACUUUAAUGAUUCUCAUGGGAAUUGUUUUUUGCCCUCACCAGUUCUUACACUAACGGGUGAUGGUAAGGAAAGAAAAGUUACCAUUCUAAUGCCUUCAUCAAAACUUCUAAUGAUGGAGAGAAUGGAAGUGCUUUUACAUCUUCUAUCAAUCCUACAUCUUCUAUCAAUCCUAAAAUAAUAGCAGGAUCAACUAUUGGAGCCAUCCUUGUUAUGAGUUUAAUUGGUGGUCUAUGUAUUAUGGUUUGGAGGAAGAAAAGAGAUCGAGAGGAAGGAAUGGAAGACUUGAAUCAACUAUCAGGAAUGCCCAUGAGAUUCACAUACCAAGAACUAAGAGUGGCAACUUGGGAUUUUGAGAAGAAGCUUGGAGGAGGAGGGUUUGGAUCAGUUUUUGAAGGAAUUCUAGAAAAUGGAGAAAAAAUUGCAGUAAAGCGCCUAGAUGCUUUAGGCCAAGGGCAGAAGGAAUUCUUGGCUGAGGUCAAAAGUAUAGGAAGCAUCCAUCAUGUCAGCCUGGCGAGGCUAAUUGGAUUCUGUGCUGAUAAAUUGCACACGCUUUUAGUCUAUGAGUUCAUGUGCUGUGGGUCUUUGGAUAAGUGGAUUUUCUGCAGGGAACCACUACUACAUCCUCUGGACUUCCAAACUAGAAGAAACAUUAUCAUGGAUGUAGCAAAGGGGCUGGCCUAUCUCCAUGAAGAAUGCAGACAAAGAAUAGUCCACUUAGACAUCAAACCACAAAACAUUUUGUUGGAUGAAAAUCUGCAUGCUAAGAUCUCUGAUUUUGGCUUGUCUAAGUUGAUUGACAGGGAUCAAAGUCAAGUGGUGACCACAAUGAGAGGAACUCCUGGGUACUUGGCUCCUGAAUUAUUCAGCUCAGUCAUCACAGAGAAGGCAGAUGUUUAUAGUUUUGGAAUCGUAGUCAUGGAAGUUGUCUGCGGAAAGAAAAAUCUGGAUAGGUCACAGCCAGCUGAGUGCAUGCAUUUGCUCCCUAUUCUUAUGAAGAGGGCACAGGAGGAUCAAUUGAUUGAUAUGGUUGACAAUAGCAGUGAGGAUAUGCAAUUGCACAGGUUAGAAGCUGCGGAGAUGAUGAGGGUUGCUAUUUGGUGUCUGCAAAGUGAUCAGACCAGGAGGCCUAGCAUGUCAACCGUGGUUAAGGUCUUAGAGGGCACCAUGGGUGUUGAGGCAGACCUAGACUAUUGCCUUCAGAAUGCAACAACAAUGGCAGCAAUAAGAAGAGAGGCAGAGCUGGGCAGUACUGCCACAUUGCUGCCAUCACUACUAUCAGGACCAAGGUGAAGAAAGAUCUUUUGCGAAAUAUAUGUGGUGUUUAUGUUUCUCCGAUAGGUGUUUUACCUUCAGUUCUCUUUAUAUCGCUACUGUAACGUUA